rnacentral:lncRNA from 1 species
AUUUGGUGCAACCUAGCAGAUUUGCCCGUUUGAGGGUGUUGUAUAAUCCUUCUCUCACCACCAAUACUUCCAAUUGGUAUCCUUUUGAGAGAAAUCCACUCUGCGUUGUGUUUUUAAUAGUGAAUGUAAUAUCCCUGUGUCACCUCUUCCAAGAACUAACAUAUAUCUUUAUCCCCUUAUCCAGAUAAAUAUAUGACUAGCACUACUAAGGUAUUCUACCCAAUAUUACAAAUAAACAGCCAACACCAUAGUUCUUACCAGAGAGAAAGCUUUACUUAGAAUCUGCCCAAUUCAAUAUUACAGAAGAAGAAUGUUACAGAGUUAUAGUAUUACAGUUACAAUACAUUCAUAACACUCAUACAUUCCAUCUAAUACUAUCUGCUACAUUGUGUAUAAUAAUAUCUGCUACAUUGUGUAUGUGCUGUGCAAUGUUAUGUGCAGCAUGUGUGUCUUACCAAACCUAAUCUAACGUCAUGUCAGUAUCUUCUAUUUUUAAAGGAAUUGGUUCCCAUGUUGUAAAUAGCAAAUUUCUCAGCUCAAUUGAUAUGGAAAUGUGAUUUACUUUCCCAAGGCCCAAAGUGUUGUCUAUCCUGUUAUUUUAUUUAAGUGUUAACUUUCCCAGCCAUCCCUUUUCCUCUAACCCAAGGUGUGUUUUCCUAUAUAGGGACUCCUUUGAAGACCAGUUAAUAUGUAAAUGUGAUUGGUGCCUUUCAGGUGCUGUAUCUUUUCAGCUAUCUAAACAGAAACUCCCUUUUAAGAUAAUUCCUGACCUCCCAUACACACAGACUUAAUCAAGCACAUAUUAAACAGAUAUAUACAUAAUAUUUUCCCCAACACUCCCCCACUUGAAUAAGAUCUAAUAAGGAGAUUAUUCACAUACAGCCCCGCCUCCCACUCUGAUUUCUGUAUAUUAAAAAAAAAAUCCAAAAAAAAAAAAAAAAAAAUCAAGGGAAGACAUAAACCCACACAUAUAUUUUAUAUCCGUAAAAUGGAUGUGAGCUCUAAUUUUUCCUGCUUUGUAUGGAUUUUUUUUAGUUCUUUCCUCCAACAGCAAUAUAAAAUGAAUAGAGAACAGAUUAAAACAAAUUGUAGACAAACAAAUAUUACAGAAGCUGUUCUUAAUCCUGGGUGUGUGUAAGUAUUGUAGGGUAUGCUCCACCAGGGCUCUUGAAAACUAUUUGUUAAAUCAUUAAAGCUAGCUACAUUUUCCUUCACCAGCUCUUGCAAUUGCACAACCCUUCGAUUAUUUCUUUUAAAUAAUGUAUCCAAAUCUACAUUAAGUGGUGGGAUUUUCUUAAAAAGUGAGGGAGCCAUUUUAUUCCAAUUUCCUAGAUCUUCCUGUACCACGUCCAUAGAUCUUUGUGUGAGUUGGAUAUUGGCUCUUAUGACCUCUUUGCCCACUUUCAUGGAGCCAUAGGUAAGAUUAACACACCAUCCUGUUGGGGGUACCCUACAUUGUAUUGUUUGCUGCCACAGAACUGAAGAUACUCCCAGUGCGCAGAUCGUGGGACCCUGUCCGUGCACCACUCUUUUCCAACCAUUUAGGGGUUUGUGAAGGUGAACAGGGCAGCUCCCUGAGUUUUCCACCAUGCACCCAUCUGCCUGGACUAGUGGUUCUAGUACACAGGAACAAAGCCAAGCAUUACCACAUCUGUCACAGCAACUGGGGUUGAUAACUUUCCAGAACUGGUCUUCUUUUAUUACUAAGCGAGUUUGUGGAAGGAAUUGCUUUAAAACAUUAGUGCGAUUAGCCACUUCCAACUCACCAAACAUAGUCAUCUUAUAAACAGGUACAGGCUGUUCUGUCCAAACUGGAAUGUAAAUUAUUAAUGGAAUUACCUUCUUUCCUAAUUUGCACUUAUUGCACCAACUCUGCAGACCUUUAAUUUUGGAAAGGACUACAUUCUGACAAUCUAUGCCAUAUUCCCUAACCAGAUCAAAGACUAGGGUAGAAUUGAUUAUUCUGGGCCAUUCCCCUCGUUUUAUUUCUUGGAGGCCUAAAUUUCGAUGUUCGUCUAGUAAAUUUCCAACUAUACCACAUACCAUAGUGUGACAGAUUCAUCUGCAUUGUUGGUUCGUCUGUUUCCCUUUGUUCGCGGAAUUGCCUGUUCAUAUAACCCCGUUCGUGCAAUUUGCAAAAUGCCGAUUGAAACUACCGAACGAACGACCACCCAGGAGAGGAGUGUGCUGCUGGUUAACCUCUUGGCCCCAAUUAGAACAUUGUGGUUAACCGCAGACACCUCUCCAUUCCAUUCGUAUGGGUGGUCGUCGUUCGCAUGUCGACCACGAGGCAGCGGCCAUUUUGGGACAUACGAACACAGAGCGGUGUUCGGUACAAACUGUAUGGAACUAAAAACUGUCACUUAAACUACCGAACACCGCUGAAAAGCUGCUGCCUACCUUCCUUUUCGACAAGGCAUGCGAACGUCGGUCGUUCGGGAGUUUUAUUCAUUCGUAUGGACUUUUACCCCGACAGCCAUCCCAUGGAGUCAUUCGUAUACCGAAGGACUGGUGCAAGACUUUGACUCCAUGGCGAUUCGACUAGAUACAUCGGAUCUGAGCGCUGUUCGGUGAAAACAUGCCCUCAGAUCCAGGCUGUCUGGGGAUACGUUACACGAACCAUAUGCAUUCGGUAUUUCUGUCGUUAUGUAUUUUAAUGUAUUUUUGUUACUGUAAGCUAAAAUGGCGAUUGUCUCUACCUUGGGAGAUAAUUAGGUUUCUUCCUAAUUAUCUCCAGGGUAGAGAAGACGGAUUUGUGGGUAAGAUGGGAAGGGCUAUUAUUGAAGCCACUGCGAUUGGCUACUGUCCAAUAUGUUUUACAGUCUUCCACAAGGUCCCCUCGGGGAGUGUCCACCUUGUGGAGACCUGCAUAAAUACCGGGCAGGUAGCCCCCAUUAAACAGAACUUCAUUUGACCCUCAAGACGGAGCUUGGUCUCGUUUGUGGGGGAAUUAUUACUGGGACAGCGCUUUCGUUAUUUCUAGCUGUGGAAGGCGUUCGACUGUUUGGCUGAUUGGGAGUUGCCGUGUUCGUGGACUUCGUUCGGGAGUUUGGCGAUCGGCUGGAUUUAAACUGCAUUUCUGGAGAAGGGGAUUAUUGCCUAAACGGCAGCUUCAUCUACCCGACGGUACGUGUCGUAACAAUUGGUGGCAGCGGUGGGAUGAAUCCUACAGCCCAGAAGGCCAGCUACACAUCCCAGGUUGGAAAUGCAGUAUGAGGAGUUAAGGCGUGCUACCCUUAAAGAUAUAUUGGAGCGCAGAGGACGAUCAGCGAGUAAUCUCAAGAAAAGAGAGAUUAUUGCCAUACUAUUGGAAAUGGAUGCAGCACAGGGAACGGGGGGAGCGGAUGUGCCUGGCAUGCUGGAGUUAACACCCGAGGAGAUGCAGUUUAACCGGGCAGUUCAGAUCAGGCUGGCACAUUUUGGCCCCAACCCCGCAGCAGAUAUUGUGGUGCAAGUACAAGCGGCAGUAGCAGCACAACAGGCGCUUCAAGGAAGAGGCGCUGCAGCAGCUGAGGUACCGUAUAAUAAUAAUGGAAGGAGAAAAGUACCUUUUGCUGCAUUUCGGAACUUUGUAGAAGCCGAAGGAGAAAUUGAUGGGUUCCUGGCGGAUUUUGAAAGGCAAUGUGCCUUACACCAGGUACCCGCAGGAGAAUGGGUCCCCAUCCUCUCUGGGAAGUUAUCCGGCCGGGCCAGUGAGGCGUUUCGGGCCAUCCCAGAGGAGGAACUUACCAGCUACAGGGCAGUGAAAGAUGCCCUUUUGGCCAGAUAUGCUGUGACCCCGGAGGCAUACCGGCGGCGAUUCCGGGACACUAACAAGCAGGCUGGUGAUUCUUAUGUUGAGUGGGCAUGCCGAGUACACCGCACCGCAGCCCACUGGAUGGCAGGGUGCCAAGCGGUAACUGGGGAAGAGGUGCUGCAAGUGUUUUUGUUGGAGCACUGUUUUGACCGCUUACCCGUAGGAGUCAGAGAGUGGGUUAGGGACCGCAAACCCGCUACCUUACCCGAAGCUGCUCGUCUGGCUGAUGAGUACACUGACGCCAGGAAACUGGACCAGACAGCAGCCAAGGUCCCUACCCGAGUGGAGUACAAACCAGCAGCCCCUCCAACCGCUGCAGUGUAUCAACACCCAGCACAACGCACCCCCACCAUGCCAACAGCGAACAAUUACGUUCAGCCAGCCCGGUUCAACGGCCGGGAUUACUCCCAGCCGAUCCGUUGCUAUGGGUGUAAGCAGUUGGGGCACAAGCGACCCGAGUGCCCAUUAAACAAUUCGAGCCAAGCACAGUCGUGGAGAAGACCAGCCGGCGGAAACCAGCAGCCACCCCAACCUUCCGCUCACUGUCUGGAGCAGGAGGAAUUUUGGGGUAUAUUACAUGAGGCGGAUCCGGUCCAAGCAGCGCAGCAGGAUAACCGUCAACAGCACAGGCAGACCGUUAAACUAAAUGGCAAAGCGGUAACUGGACUGAGAGACACCGGAGCCACUAUGACUUUGCUCCAAAAGAACCUUGUGUCCGAACACCAACACACUGGAGAUACUGUGGCAGUGAGGGUGGCGGGAGGUGCAGUGUUCCGUUUACCGGUUGCCCGGGUUCACUUGGAUUGGGGGGUGGGCUCUGGACCCGUGAAUGUGGGGGUCAUGAAAGACUUACCGGCCGAUGUUUUACUUGGGAAUGACUUGGCCCCUUUGGUGUCCGCUCAUGCUCCAAUGGGACCUGCCGCUAUCAACCCAGUGACUACCCGUGCCCAGACCCGUGCUGCUGGAACCAGCCCACCUGCUGCUGAGACCCAGGUAAGGACCAAGUCCCCGACUGGUACCCGAGAACAGACUUUUGUUAACUGGGAUUCCCCAGAGGAGUUUGGGAGGGAAACUCAGACAGAUUCGACCCUCCAGAAGUAUAGGGACAGAGCAGAUACUGGAGAGGAAGGAUUAGAUGGGGAACGGUAUGAGUGGGUGUGGGACAGGUUAUAUAGGAUCCCCAAGCUUUCCCCGAAGAGUGUUGCCCCUCCGCCGACUCGACAGCUGGUGGUGCCCGCGAAAUACCGGCAGGAGAUUCUGCGGAUAGGGCAUGAUGUUCCCCUAGCUGGACAUCUAGGUUCCCGCCGCACAGCCUAUAGGAUCAUGCAGAACUUUUUUUGGCCAAACUUCAAUCAGGCUGUGCGGACAUACUGCAGUACGUGUGACACAUGUCAACGGAUAGGGAAGCGGGGGGACCACCCAAGAGCUAGGCUUAUGUCUAUGCCUAUCAUUGGGGAGCCCUUUGCCCGCAUAGCCGUUGACAUUGUGGGUCCACUGGCCAGGGCUAGUCCAUCCGGUAAGAAAUAUAUUCUCACCGUGGUGGAUUAUGCCACUCGCUAU